GAUGAACGCUGGCGGCGUGCCUAAUACAUGCAAGUCGAGCGAACAGACGAGGAGCUUGCUCCUCUGACGUUAGCGGCGGACGGGUGAGUAACACGUGGAUAAUCUACCUAUAAGACUGGGAUAACUUCGGGAAACCGGAGCUAAUACCGGAUAAUAUAUUGAACCGCAUGGUUCAAUAGUGAAAGACGGUUUUGCUGUCACUUAUAGAUGGUUCCGCGCCGCAUUAGCUAGUUGGUAAGGUAACGGCUUACCAAGGCGACGAUGCGUAGCCGACCUGAGAGGGUGAUCGGCCACACUGGAACUGAGACACGGUCCAGACUCCUACGGGAGGCAGCAGUAGGGAAUCUUCCGCAAUGGGCGAAAGCCUGACGGAGCAACGCCGCGUGAGUGAUGAAGGUCUUCGGAUCGUAAAACUCUGUUAUUAGGGAAGAACAAAUGUGUAAGUAACUAUGCACGUCUUGACGGUACCUAAUCAGAAAGCCACGGCUAACUACGUG
rnacentral:rRNA from 1 species